GUUGCCAAUUGCUGGCCUAAAGUAUCCUGAAAAUUUAAGCAAAAACAAUUUUAGGGGAAGAGAGGCAUUUGUUCAAAUGAAUAAUUGUCAUUAACUGUGUAUUAAUUUUGCAUAGUUUGUUUAAUAUUAGAGUACAGAUUUCUUCAUUCAUUACUUUCAGUAUUAAAUCAUCUUUGUAUCAUAACAUUUUCCCAUUUGUAGCUAUGCAUAUUUGUUUUAUUUUAUCUGCUUCUCAAGGGUUGUGGUUGGUAAGAUUUCAUAACUGUGUAUUUUACUUCAAUCUUUGACCAUUCUCCCAGUUAUUACUUAACACUAGAGAUAGUGUGUGUACAAGUUAUCUAACACAGCAUUCAGUAUAUGGUGGACUUUCAGUAGUGAUAUCAAUAAGUUUGCCAAAGUAUAUAUUAUAUUGUGGGUCUAUACUUUUUAUUGUUUCAUUAGUGAUGAUAUCUGUUUUGCACAUGAUCCAGGCCAAUUUCGAUUUUUCUUCUCUUAAACAUUUUUAUAAUUGGACUUUUUAUAUCGGACCUACUGUCCUUUUGAUAGAAAUUCAGAAUAAAUCUCUAUCGACCAAUGUCAAAGACAACAACAACAAAAAAAAAAACUCCCCUAAACCAAAAACUUUAAAUUUUAAAUUCUAAAUUCAAAGUCCUUCUAGAUAAAGAUUAUUAUAUAAAAAAUAAAAAUUCUACAAUUAAAAUUCUUCUUAAAUAGAUGUGGCACAUAAAGUAUUCAUGCUUUUAUAUAAGCAAUAAAAUUAUCUGAUUAUCAUCUAUUUUGAUAGAUAUGUGUUAUCUGUGUUUAAAGUGAAAGGGAUAAGAGAUUAUGAAUAUGAAUGUUUUGAAAAACAUAAAUCAAUGUGUAAAUCAGUCUAAUAAACAUGUGUAUUAAGCAACUGUAUAAUGAAGAUAUGAAGAUUUAAACAUACAAUAUCCUGUUUCUAUACUAAUGAGGCAGUGAGUUAAAUUUAACCUUUUCUUCUGUCUUGAAUAGUGGAAAUAGAGUUGGGAUAGAAAGGAAGUUUCCAGAACCAAG
rnacentral:lncRNA from 1 species